rnacentral:rRNA from 1 species
AGAUUGAACGCUGGCGGCAUGCCUUACACAUGCAAGUCGAACGGCAGCACGGGAGCAAUCCUGGUGGCGAGUGGCGAACGGGUGAGUAAUAUAUCGGAACGUGCCCAGUCGUGGGGGAUAACGUAGAGAAUUUACGCUAAUACCGCA